rnacentral:rRNA from 1 species
UACGUAGGGUGCGAGCGUUGCCCGGAUUUAUUGGGCGUAAAGGGCGCGUAGGCGGCUCGGCACGUCCGUUGUGAAAUCGCCCGGCUCAACUGGGCGGGGUCAGCGGAUACGGUCGAGCUUGAGCAAGCUAGGGGGCAAUGGAAUUCCCGGUGUAGUGGUGGAAUGCGUAGAUAUGUGGAGGAAUACCGAUGGCGAAGGCAGCCCCCUGGGAUAACACUGACGCUCAUGCACGAAAGCGUGGGGAGCAAACAGG